AUGCGCCUUGCCAGCCCGCUCAGAAACUUAAAGGAAUUGACGGGGCCCGCACAAGCGGAGGAGCAUGUGGUUUUAAUUCGAUGAUACGCGAGGAACCUUACCUGGGCUUAAAUGCUUAAUGACGUACUGGGAAACUGGUAUUUCUUCGGACAUUUUGCAAGGUGCUGCAUGGUUGUCGUCAGCUCGUGCCGUGAGGUGUCGGGUUAAGUCCCAUAACGAGCGCAACCCCUAUUGUUAGUUGCCAUCAGGUCAUGCUGGGGACUCUAACAAAACUGCCCGCGUAAGCGUGGAGGAAGGUGGGGAUGACGUCAAAUCAGCACGGCCCUUACGUCCAGGGCUACACACGUGCUACAAUGGCCGGUACAGAGGGCAGCCACUUGGUGACAAGGGGCAAAUCUCAAAAGCCGGUCUCAGUUCGGAUCGGAGUCUGCAACUCGACUCCGUGAAGUUGGAUUCGCUAGUAAUCGUAGAUCAGCAAUGCUACGGUGAAUACGUUCCCGGGCCUU
rnacentral:rRNA from 1 species